CCGGCCUGAGAGGGCGACCGGCCACACUGGGACUGAGACACGGCCCAGACUCCUACGGGAGGCAGCAGUGGGGAAUAUUGCACAAUGGGCGAAAGCCUGAUGCAGCGACGCCGCGUGAGGGAUGACGGCCUUCGGGUCGUAAACCUCUUUCAGCAGGGAAGAAGCGAAAGUGACGGUACCUGCAGAAGAAGCGCCGGCUAACUACGUGCCAGCAGCCGCGGUAAUACGUAGGGCGCAAGCGUUGUCCGGAAUUAUUGGGCGUAAAGAGCUCGUAGGCGGCUUGUCACGUCGGUUGUGAAAGCCCGGGGCUUAACCCCGGGUCUGCAGUCGAUACGGGCAGGCUAGAGUUCGGUAGGGGAGAUCGGAAUUCCUGGUGUAGCGGUGAAAUGCGCAGAUAUCAGGAGGAACACCGGUGGCGAAGGCGGAUCUCUGGGCCGAUACUGACGCUGAGGAGCGAAAGCGUGGGGAGCGAACAGGAUUAGAUACCCUGGUAGUCCACGCCGUAAACGGUGGGCACUAGGUGUGGGCAACAUUCCACGUUGUCCGUGCCGCAGCUAACGCAUUAAUGUC
rnacentral:rRNA from 1 species